rnacentral:rRNA from 1 species
AUUGAACGCUGGCGGUAUGCUUAACACAUGCAAGUCGAACGGCAGCACGGUCUGUAGUAAUACAGAUGGGUGGCGAGUGGCGGACGGGUGAGUAAUACGCAGGAAUCUGCCCUAUAGAGGGGGAUAACUCGAGGAAACUCGAGCUAAUACCGCAUAGUCUCUACGGAGUAAAGCUGGGGCAACCUGGCGCUAUAGGAGGAGCCUGCGUCUGAUUAGCUAGUUGGUGGGGUAAAGGCCUACCAAGGCGACGAUCAGUAGGUGGUCUGAGAGGAUGAUGACCCGCACUGGGACUGAGACAAGGCCCAGACUCCUACGGGAGUCAGCAGUGGGGAAUAUUGGACAAUGGGGGCAACCCUGAUCCAGCAAUACCGCGUGUGUGAAGAAGGCCUUAGGGUUGUAAAGCACUUUAGGCGGGGAAGAAGGUAUGUAUUUUAAGAGAUAACAUAUUUGACGGUACCCGCAGAAUAAGCACCGGCUAACUCUGUGCCAGCAGCCGCGGUAA